GUCUGUGCAGGUGUGUAUAAAUGUCAGAUGAUGUCCACAUUAUUCCUCAGGCACUACCACUUUUUUUUUUUAAAGUAGUCUCUAUCACUGCCUGAAGCUCACCAAUUAGGGUAGGCUGACUGCAAGCGUCGGUGGGUCCUCCUGUUUCUGCCUUUGCAAUACUGAGAUGACAUAGCCUCUGACUGGGAUGACAUGGAUGCUGCUUUUUUUUUUCUUUCUUUCUUUUCUUUUUUUUUUUUUUUUUUUUUUGAGACAGGAUCUUUGUAGCCCUGCCUGUCCUAGAACUCAUAGAUCUGUCUGCCUCUGCCUUGUAAGUGCUGGGAUCAAAGGUGUGGGUUACCAAACACAGUGAGGCUUUUUUUUUAAUGUGGGUUUUGGAGACUGAAGUUUUGUAAGUAUGUUCUUGCAAACCGUUUAUCAACUGAGCCAUCCGCCAGCUGUCACUCUGUCACUCUUAGCUUUAUCUCAAACCCUGUCCCCUCUUCACUGCUGCUUUGCUUUUUAAUAUCAGUAUGUCUGGGUAUUUCCCCCUUUUUCUGAUUCCAGGAGGUAAGGCUUUUGUAGCCCAGACUAUCCUGGAACUCUCUGGGUAGCCCAUACUGACCUUAACUCAAGAUCUUUCUUCUCUGCUUCCCAAAUGCUAGGUUUAUAAAUAUGCAAGGAGGUGAGUAUUAAUGCUGACCUUGAUACCACCCCCCUGCUCACCAGGUUUAUUUGUGUAUGGGCAUAUGUCAUAAUUCUAGCUCAUGAGACAUGGGGGUGAUUCACUGUGAUAUGUUUAUGGAGGUUUCCCUGCUCUCAGAAAACAUGAGGAAUGAGAGUGGCUGUGGUUUUGUUGUUGUUGUUGUUCUAGUUCCAGGACAGCCUCCAAAGCCACAGAGAAACCCUGUCUCAAAACACAAAACAAAACAAAACAACAAAAAAUGUCUUUAAAAUGACAGAACAGCCAGGAUAGCAGAGCUUCAAGCCAUGGGCAGCAUCUAUAGAAAAGCAACAAAAAUGACAGGCCUAGUUGGAUUGGGUGGUAAUUCCAGCACUUAGACAGCUAAACCAUGAGAACUGCCACAAGUUUGAGGCCAAGUUUGGAAUACAUAGUAAAUCCUAGGCCAUUCUGGGCUGUAGUGAAACCCUGUCUCAAAGAGAAAAUGGGGUCAGGAAGUUUCAGGAGGAUGACCCCAAAAGAAAAGCCUUUUUUGCCAUUUCAUUUAUCUAUCUAUCUAUCUAUAUCUAUCUAUCUAUCUAUCUAUCU
rnacentral:lncRNA from 1 species